rnacentral:rRNA from 1 species
AUUGAACGCUGGCGGCAUGCCUUACACAUGCAAGUCGAACGGCAGCACGGGAGCAAUCCUGGUGACGAGUGGCGAACGGGUGAGUAAUAUAUCGGAACGUGCCCAGUUGUGGGGGAUAGCCCGGCGAAAGCCGGAUUAAUACCGCAUACGACCUACGGGUGAAAGCGGGGGAUCGCAAGACCUCGCGCAAUUGGAGCGGCCGAUAUCAGAUUAGCUAGUUGGUGGGGUAAAAGCUCACCAAGGCGACGAUCUGUAGCUGGUCUGAGAGGACGACCAGCCACACUGGGACUGAGACACGGCCCAGACUCCUACGGGAGGCAGCAGUGGGGAAUUUUGGACAAUGGGCGCAAGCCUGAUCCAGCCAUGCCGCGUGUGGGAAGAAGGCCUUCGGGUUGUAAACCACUUUUGUCAGGGAAGAAACGGUCCUUACUAAUAUUAGGGGCUAAUGACGGUACCUGAAGAAUAAGCACCGGCUAACUACGUGCCAGCAGCCGCGGGUAAUACGUAGGGGUGCAAAGCGUUAAUCGGAAUUACUGGGCGUAAAGCGUGCGCAGGCGGCUAUGCAAGACAGAUGUGAAAUCCCCGGGGCUCAACCUGGGAACUGCAUUUGUGACUGCAUGGCUAGAGUACGGUAGAGGGGGAUGGAAUUCCGCGUGUAGCAGUGAAAUGCGUAGAUAUGCGGAGGAACACCGAUGGCGAAGGCAAUCCCCUGGACCUGUACUGACGCUCAUGCACGAAAAGCCGUGGGGGA